rnacentral:rRNA from 1 species
GAUGAACGCUGGCGGCGUGCCUAAUACAUGCAAGUCGAGCGAAGGGACGAGAAGCUUGCUUCUCUGAUGUUAGCGGCGGGCGGGUGAGUAAGACGUGGAUAACCUACCUAGAAGACUGGGAUAAGUUCGGGAAACCGUAGCUAAUACCGGAUAAUAUUUUGAACCGCAUGGUUCAAAAGUGAAAGACGGUCUUGCUGUCACUUAUAGAUGGAUCCGCGCUGCAUUAGCUAGUUGGUAAGGUAACGGCUUACCAAGGCAACGAGGCAUAGCCGCCAUGAGAGGGUGAUCGGCCAGCCUGGAACUGAGACCCGGUCCAGACUCCUACGGGAGGCAGCAGUAGGGAAUCUUCCGCAAUGGGCGAAAGCGUGACGGAGCAAAGCCGCGUGAGUGAUGAAGGUCUUCGGAUCGUAAAACUAUGUUAUUAGGGAAGAACAUAUGUGUAAGUAACUGUGCACAUCUUGACGGUACCUAAUCAGAAAGCCACGGCUAACUACGUG